rnacentral:rRNA from 1 species
UACGACUACAUAUCAGGCAUAUCAAUAAGCGGAGGAAAAGAAACUAACAAGGAUUCCCUUAGUAACGGCGAGUGAAGCGGGAAGAGCUCAAAUUUGAAAUCUUCAAGGUUUUACCUUGACGAAUUGUAGUUUAAAGAAGUGUUUUCUGUUGGAGUUUUGGUAAAAGUUCUUUGGAAUAGGACAUCAUAGAGGGUGAGAAUCCCGUAUUUGACCAUUAUUUUCAGCUGUGUGAUACACUUUCAAAGAGUCGGAUUGUUUGGGAAUGCAGUCCAAAAUGGGUGGUAAAUUUCAUCUAAAGCUAAAUAUUGGCGAGAGACCGAUAGCGAACAAGUACCGUGAGGGAAAGAUGAAAAGAACUUUGAAAAGAGAGUUAAACAGUACGUGAAAUUGUCAAAAGGGAAGCGUUUGACACCAGUGUUGUUUUCUCGAAAAUCAAUUAAAAAGAGUUGGAUUUUGUGUUGUAUUGACCUUAACAGCUUGCUUCACUCUUUUCCAGCUUUUUUUAAUGCACUUUUCGUUUAACAAGUCAACAUCAGUUUCUUUUGUUGUAAAAGGGUCAUUGGAAGGUGGCUUUCUCUUCGGAGAAAGUGUUUAUAGCCUUUGAUCUCUGCAAUCGGAGAGACUGAGGUCUGCAGCGUAGAUCCUUCGGGGUUAGAUACAUUUGUGCUAAGCUACAGCUUUUCAUAGACAACUUGUUGACUAUGUUUAGUCUUGUAACUUACCCGCUUAUGCUAUUUUACCUACGCUUAGGAUGUUGAGCGCAUGUCUCUCUCU